rnacentral:rRNA from 1 species
AACGUAGGAGACAAACGUUAUCCGGAGUUACUGGGCGUAAAGGGCGUGUAGGCGGUUAGUUAAGUCUGGCGUGAAAGCUCUCGGCUAAACCGGGAGAGGUCGUUGGAUACUGGCAAACUUGAGGACGGUAGAGGCGUGUGGAAUUCCGGGUGUAGUGGUGAAAUGCGCAGAUAUCAGGAGGAACACCGGUGGCGAAGGCGGGUCUCUGGGCCGAUACUGACGCUGAGGAGCGAAAGCGUGGGGAGCGAACAGG